rnacentral:rRNA from 1 species
AGAUUGAACGCUGGCGGCAGGCCUAACACAUGCAAGUCGAGCGGUAGAGAGGUGCUUGCAUCUCUUGAGAGCGGCGGACGGGUGAGUAAUGCCUAGGAAUCUGCCUAGUGGUGGGGGAUAACGUUCGGAAACGGACGCUAAUACCGCAUACGUCCUACGGGAGAAAGCGGGGGACCUUCGGGCCUCGCGCCAUUAGAUGAGCCUAGGUCGGAUUAGCUAGUUGGUGAGGUAAUGGCUCACCAAGGCGACGAUCCGUAACUGGUCUGAGAGGAUGAUCAGUCACACUGGAACUGAGACACGGUCAGACUCUACGGGAGCAGCAGGUGGGAAUAUUGGACAAGUGGGCGAAAGCC